CCUACGGGAGGCAGCAGUGGGGAAUUUUGGACAAUGGGGGAAACCCUGAUCCAGCAAUGCCGCGUGUGUGAAGAAGGCCUUCGGGUUGUAAAGCACUUUUGUCCGGAAAGAAAACUUCUGCCCUAAUACGGUGGGAGGAUGACGGUACCGGAAGAAUAAGCACCGGCUAACUACGUGCCAGCAGCCGCGGUAAUACGUAGGGUGCGAGCGUUAAUCGGAAUUACUGGGCGUAAAGCGUGCGCAGGCGGUUCGUUAAGACAGAUGUGAAAUCCCCGGGCUUAACCUGGGAACUGCAUUUGUGACUGGCGAGCUAGAGUAUGGCAGAGGGGGGUAGAAUUCCACGUGUAGCAGUGAAAUGCGUAGAGAUGUGGAGGAAUACCGAUGGCGAAGGCAGCCCCCUGGGCCAAUACUGACGCUCAUGCACGAAAGCGUGGGGAGCAAACAGGAUUAGAUACCCUGGUAGUCCACGCCCUAAACGAUGUACAACUAGUUGUUGGUCUUCAUNUACUUAGUACGUAGUACUACGCGUGUAGUGUACCGCCGUGGGAGGUACGGUCGCGAGAAUUAAACUUAAAUAGAGUAGUACGGCGUGAGACGUGCGACGGACGACGACGAGGGAGGUUAGG
rnacentral:rRNA from 1 species